UCAAGUGGUACAGUGUUUGCCUAGCAAUCAUGAGGCUGAGUUCAAUUCUCAGUACCACCAAUAAAUAAAUAAAUAAGUAAAUAAAUAAAUGAAUAUCAUGGUAAAGGAAACGGAAAAAGAAUGCAUGUAUAUUUUGUAAAUUACAUUGUGUACUCUACAACUUUUUUCAAAAUAAAAUAUAAAAAACCCAACAACUCAGAAAUCAAUCAUGGGCAUAACUUGACAGUACCUGUGGGAUGUAAUGAUAAAGUAACAUAUUUAUUAAGGUAAUUCAAUAAUUAUAUCCUGCAGUAUUCCACAUAAUGGACACUCUAAAGUGUCUUCUCUUACAUAACAUUUCAAAUUAGAACUGGUACUUUUUUGCAUCUGUGGUGGCUUUCCAAUAAGAUAAGCAGGUGUUAUUUUAUCUUUGAAUCUCAUAUAUAACUGGCGUUCAUCAGCUUCCAGUAAUUUUUUGUUGUUGUAGUCAUCAUUUUAUAAAUGUCUUAGAAAUGUUUCAUAAUUUGAGCUUUCAUUCAGCAGUUACUUACACAAUGAAUUUAGUUACUCCUUUUCAAAAUAACAUGUAGUAAUAACUCAUCAUGUUUAAUUUUAACUAAGUCACCUAAGCUUCUUCCUUUUGACUUACAACACUUAGUCAAGCCAUUUGUUUUUUUUUAUUUUACUGCUUACUUUAUCAGUAAACAAUUUGCUUAUUAUGCAGACAAAAGAACAUCCUAAUAAAUGAAAUUGUGCAUUGGGAGACUGAUCCAGUGACCAAAGAAGAUUGUAUAACAUCUAUGUUUUAAAUGAAAUUACAUAGAAUCUUUUUCAGCAUAAAUAUCUUCUAGUCUUCAAAAUCUAUUCACUAAAUGAAACUUAAAAAAAAUCCUCCUUUCUUUUUCUUUAAAAAUCAGUUAGUAAUGUGUCUGCAUAAUAGCAUUUCUUAUGAAUCUUUUAAUUUGACAAGCUUAUCAAAAACCAAAAUAAAUAAGAAUAAGAAUAUAAACAAUAGGACUUCAUAUAAAAGUAGUACUCAUUAUAAUUUAAGUGUUAGCUUCAUCUUGAGGACAGAAUAAUGCUUUGUCUUGUACAACAUUGAUAAAUGUGGGUUCUUGAAACAUUAUCAAAAGAGGUUUAUUUAAGGAACAUUUGUUCUACAAACUAGGCAAGUGUGUUUUGCUUCACCUUUACUUCUUUCCCUAUUUUAGUGUCUUAAAUAUGUUUCAGCAAAACAUUUGUGUUAACUAAAUAAAUCUCUCCACUAUAGGAAGAACCUUAAAAGAGAAGUCCAUAUGAAAUAGGUCCAUUUUCAUCUUUCUGAGAAUUAUUUUAAACAUCUGCAAUAAUUAUCUUUUAUGCUUAUUUUUAUCCAAAAUUUAUUUUACAUUGAUUUAAAUGAUAGCAAAAAUUUCCCAUUAACUCUAUUUUAUUUUUUUGGUCUAAAAAUCAUAAAAAUUGAAUUGCUUUAAUAUUCAGAAUAUUUUGAUUUUACUUUGUGAAUGCACUCCCAAGGAAAUUGGAAGGAAAGAAUCACUUUAAAUAUAUAAUUUUAGCCUUUCAUGACAAAUAUUGCAUGUAAUCAUGCAUGUUUGUUUAUGAUAAAACAAGUUACAACUUAUAAAACUACAAUAAUAAUUAUAAUAAUGCUAAUGAUAAUAAUAUAUUUCAGAACAGGAAAAGAAAGAAAAACAUGCAGAACCAGCAAAGUCACCAAAGAAGGAACAUUCAGCUCCAAGUAAAAAACAAGUAAAAGCAAAAACUGAACAAGCUAAAGAAGAGGUUGGUGCUGCCUCAACCAAAAAAGCUGCACCAGGAAAGAAGGAAGAGAAAACAAGCAAGACAGUAGAGCAAGGUAAAAAAAAAUGAAGGAGGUUGACAUUAUCUUCUUUAGAAAGACGACAACAUGCAGAGGAAAACACUGGAUUCAGACAGGCGGAAGACAAUAACCUUUAAAUCUAUUUGUCCUUGCAUGUUUUUCUGUGCCAGGGAGAAUGUGAGGUGGCAAUCUGGGUUUGUCUUUCUUUUCUGUAUCAAAGUUUGAGAAUAAAUUCAGAACAGGAAGCUUCCACACGCAGCUAAAUUACAUCAGCAGAGAUGCUGAAGAUUGUUGGGAUAAGGAAAUGAGUUGGGCCAACUGGUAGACAUAUUUCUGUUUGGUUUUAAGUUUCAAUACCACCUUGCCACAUCACCGAUCAUAGCCUGAACAAUAAGAGUGAUCUAAUCAUAUUUAGGGAAAAACAAUUUACAUUGCUUGAAAAAUAAUAUGCACAAUUUAAAACACAGGGGUAAAACAUGAGCAAAAGUAAGUUGCUUCAUUUUAUAUGAUGACUUCACUUACUGAUUGCCCCAAAAGGUCUGAAAUUUUAGCAUUGUAUAAACUAUAAUGGCAUAAAAUAGCUGUUUAUUUCAGUAUAUCAUAAUUAGAAAUUCUUGGGAAAAAUGUGUAAUUAAGACUUCAGACAUUUGGAGUGAUAUUGCGCUUUGUCUUGGAGAUCAUUUAAACCAAAAGGUUGGUUAAGGAUUUAUUUCCUUGGGCUUUUCAAAAUAAAAAUCACAUAAUUGCACUGAGAAGGCUUUUCAACUUAUUUUGGCUUCUGCAUACCACCUGAAAUUUUAGAAUUCAAUAGGACAUUUUUACCAAAUUCUUUUUAAAGACAAGUAGGUAUUAUAGUUUCUGAAAAAUAAAUUAAGAGCACUGGAUCUUUAUUUCAGCUUAAUAAUUUUUUUAAAUUAAAAUAAUAAUUCCUGGUAAGUCUAUAUGACAAGAUACCAUAUAGCUCAAAGAAGAAAAAAUGUGUAAAAGGCGAAAAAUUAAAAAUUUGUAAGUAGGCAGAUCACACUUAUUUAGACAAUUUUCCUUAUAAAAUCACUUUUAAUGUAGGUGAGAUAAAUCAAAUCACUUUUAUCCCCUAAGCUUCAUAGCUUUAUUCCCUUCAAGUAUGAACGAUUACUCAUUACAUGCAGAGGCUGCUUUUGUAGCCACAGCAUAUUAGGAGAUUACUUAGAAUAAAAGCAAUUGCACAGAUAAUAAUAGUGCCUUGCAGAUUGUUGAACACUGUUAGCAUCACUCUCAAAAGUUCUGUCAUGUUUAAGUGAACAACACACAAGAAAUGACUCUUCAUGAUAUGAACCUGCUCCAAAUGAUUUCAUAAUAUUUCUAUUAUAAUUACCUUUCAUCCCAUGAAAGCUUAGGCCCUUGGCUUAUAAAAAGAUGAGAUUUCUUUAUAUGUAGACUUAGUAAAUCAUUUUAGUUUUAAAUAUGACAGUGGCCUCAUGUAUUUCAACUAUAAAAAUAAUAGGAAGUAAUAUACUUGAAUAUAUUGCCUAUUUUGUAAUGGUAUAUCUAUGGCUAAAAGUUGAUAUGGAUAAUAUGUACUUUAAGAUUUUAAUAAAGAUGGGAGUUUAUGUGAGAAUAGAUCAUAAAUAAUUACAUUCUAUAGAUUUCAUCAUAGUGUUCCAAUAUUUAUUCAUAAGGUGAUGCUAUAAGGCUUUGUGUAUUUUUUUCUUAAUAUAGCUUUUAGUUAUCUGCAGAAGAAAAAAUAAAUGAAAUAUAAGAAUAAAUAUAAACUAAAACUAGUUCAUAACACAAUGAAAUAAAUAAACAGUCAUCAAGAUAUUUUUCAUUCAUUUAAAUUUGAAUUCAAGGAGUUAAGGAAAAACUAAUGAUAUUUAUAAUUCUUAAUACAUCUCACAUGCACUUUGUGAUCCAAGUAUAAUUGUGUAUAUUGAAUCUCUGGACUUAGUCUGCACCAUAAUUAUACUUUGGAAAUAUCUAAGCUAAACUUUACAUCAUGGGAAAUUUAUAUUAUUAAAAAUGGAAUGAAUUUUAUGUUAAUGUAACUUACCAAAAUAGACCUCAUACAAUAUAAAUAGAAAUUUAUGCAGCAUAAGUUCACAGUACUUUUUCAUCUCUGGUUUAUGAUGAAUUAUUUGAUUUUCAAUUAUUUCUCUCAUGAAGAACUUAAGUUAGCUACAUUACAGUUUUGAGAAUUAAGACUUUAUAAAUUUCUGUGUUUUAUAGGCAUGUGCACAUGCACACACUUCUAGGAAUGUACACGCACACACACCACACACACACACAAACACACACGCACAAAAAAAAUUGACUGUUCUUCCUUGCCAAAAAGGAAUUACCUGAAAGUAUCAGAAUACUUCUCAGUACUUCUCUACCACGUCCAAGGGAUGCCAACGAUAAUGAAUUUACAAUACUCGCUACACUAUGAAAUUCAUCUUUACAUAUUUGUGUAUUAUAUUUUUAAGGAGUACAUUGCUUUCCAUAAAUAGAAUGAUUCAUUAUUAUAAAUAGUUUGUUUAUUGAUAUGUAAUUUCAAACAUUUUGUAGUAUAUUUUCCUCCUUGGUACUCCUUUCAAAAUCAACCUGCUUUCUUAAAUUUAAUUUCUCCAUCCUUCAUUCAAUCUCUUUCUUGCAAAAGAAAAAAAUUGUUAAGUUUUGGUUUUUUGCAUGGAGGGAGGCAAGUCCUUCAGUGGAAAGGUCAACAUAAUAGUCACAACACAAAUCACUUGCAUAUAUUCUUUUUUUCUUUCUCUCAUUCACUUCCAUAUAUGGCAUCACAAACUUCUUUAGACCCUGUUCUAAGAGCCUAUAAGAGUGUGUGCAUACAGUAAGUGUUCAAAAAAUAUUUGUGGGUCGAAUGCAAACACGGAGAAGUUACUGAAGAAAGGAAUAUUAGGUGAUCUUGAUUUUAACAACCUGUGCCUAACAGAGACUUUGUAAUUAAGAGGAUAUUUUUUUCACAAAUCAGAAUGAAACUCCAAGUAGUGAAGAUGACCAAGUAUUUCAGAAAUUAGAAUAUAAAUGGUUGUGUCUUCUCCUCCCCCCCCUUUUUUUUGAAGGUUAUAGAGUUUGAAUUCAGGGCUUCACACUUGCUAGCUAGGUGCUCUACUUAGCACUUGAGCCACUCCUAUGUCCCUGAGUCUUUCUUUACCCCAUUUUAAGGUGGAAGUAGUAGAGGAAAAUUAAUAAUUAAGUAUUAAUCACUACAUCAUUUUUGUUGUUUCUGAAAUAAAACUGCUAAAGAGUCAUACGACAAAGAUAUCAGAAAAUUAAUUCAGUAAUUGCAGCUAUUACAUCAUGAAUUUACUAAAAAUUGGAAAAGGGAAGAGAAAAUUAGACAAUUACCUAAUUUGGCUAAUGUAUGUUCUAAAUUCAAAACAGUUAGGCUUUAAUCACAAGUUUAGUUUUCUUAUGUUUGUAAUUUGGGAGCCAAGUAAGAUCCUUUCAAUACUUUUUCCAAAUGUAAAACUUUUUGUGCAAAAAUGUUUCAAAAUAGUAUGUUUCUUACAUCAGAAUAUAGAGGCUAUCCUUUUUAAGAGUAAAUUUGAUCUAUAAAAACUUUCAUUUUUAAUAUUCUUAAGAUUCAAAUGCUAAGGAAAAUCAUACUUUAUAAAUUUAAAUACUUACAGAUACUUCAGUAUCUCAAAAUUAAGUUGAAAAGGCUAUUAAGAAUAGUUUUUCAUGCUCUUAACAAUUAAAAGUCAUUUCAAAAUCCAAUUCAGUAGAAACAUGACAAAAUAUUUUUUAAAAUAUCAAAUGAAAUUUGAUUGCUUAUUAAUCACCAAGAAUAAAUGUGAACACAAUUUCUAAUCAUUUUAUUGAGAAUAAAACUACAGAGGGUUGAUCAUAAAUGUAACAAAGUUCAUUUCUUUAUUAUGUCCACUUCAGUUUUGCCUUACUGAGAAAUGUUUGAAAACUCAUAAGGAAGUUAAUUUGUGUCUACCUGAAGGAUUUCUGUCUUUGCCCUUGAUGCUAUUCUGUAAGCAAUGGUACCAUUCAUAGCUGUAAUAAUAUUUUAAAUUGUCACAACAGUAAGCAACACCCAAAUGUUUUAUGUAUUUGUGACUGUCCUCAUUCACCUGAUUAGAUUCUUCCAUUCUUUGUGCAUUGGUCCUUCUUGAAUCUGUGAUGUAUAAUCAUUGUAGAUUUAAGUUUUAAAGAAUGUUAAUAUCUAAACAUGAUGAUUUCACUGAGAGAAGUUCAUUUAUUUUUAAUAAUGAUGUAUAUAUUUCUUGAUAUGUCAAAGUUAUAAAGGAGAAAACAAAUUAAUUAAAAUUAAUGGAGUAAAACUGAAGGUUUAGUUAACACAAAUUGUAUUUAAUUAUUUGCUUUAUAUGUGAUUAUACAUUAACAUAUUUGCACAUGUUAAUUAAGUCUGCUGUUGACCCUCAAUAAAUGUUAAAUGAUAAUAACAAAAUUAUUGAUUCCUGUGAAUUCCAAACUUUUUGACAGUAGCUUGUCCUUUGAUUGUUUAAUGUUUAUUGAGCGCCCACAACAGGCUAGGCGCUGGGGAAGAGGUGUGAGGGGUAUGGAGUGGGCUUCAGAGAGAAGAUGGUGUACAUACAACCUGUGAGAAAGGAGCACACCACACUUAAUUUAUUUUACACAUGUUCAAAAGAAACUUUAGCAACUCAAGCUGUCACCUGCUCACAUAACACAUUUCACUUCCUUUCAUCCUUAUUUAAAACUUUUAGAAUUAUUCUUCCUCACAAUUAUUUCAUCUCAUUCAUAGGAAAUGUCUAUCUAGUCCUUCCUUUCUCACUUUUUCCUCCCCACUUCAUUGAUGCUAUGACU